CCUCUUUGUGCGGUAAACUCGUGGCUGGUGAGGAUGGCCGUCGCGGAGUUCGCCUGGCUUUUGCUGCGAAACCGUCCCCAAAGGCGGGGGAGGGUGCCGCCCGGCACAUUUGCUUAGCUGCGCACAUGCAGGAGUGUAAGAUGUCCACAUCUUAAAUGGCCGCACUCGCCGCGUAAGUCCAGGGCCAAGGAUCGAAGCCCAGCCGCAGAAGCACGGAAUCCUUUAACCUGCAUCAGGCUGGGGAUGGAACCCGCACCUCCGCAGCGACCCCAGCAGCUGCAGUCGUAUUUUUAACACAGUGCGCAAGAGCGGGAACUCCUUAUUUUUGAAUAAGGCCCGAGAGCUCCUUAUCUUUGAAGCCCAGCCAGGGGCUGUCCCUUUCAGAGAUCUGGGCUAGACUGGAAAGAUUCUGGAAGGCCUAAGGUUUGGAAUUCUCUUGAAGAGCUGACAGGAUGGCUGUGGUGCCCAUAUAGUGGUUCCUGCCACUUGAACAGGCUGUGAGAAGUGGAGAAGAUGCCUUCAGCUUGGGUUCUGUGAACUUUGCAGACACAAAAGGAUGUCCUCUCUGGUGUUGGACAGAUCUUGGGAGCUUCACAUCUUUCCUGCAUUAACACAUGGGAGCAGCUAUCAACUCUUCCGAGCCAGGCGAACUGCCUAGAAAUUUGGGGACCCUUAAAUAUCAAUUAGGUGGUCUUCACUUCUUUACUUGGUUUUAGCAAAAGGAUUCCAAUAAAAUAUUUAAAAGUAAAUGAAAAAUAGAUUGGUCUUAGGCCAUAGCAACCACCAGAGCCACUGCAGUGACAACACCAGAUCCUUGACCUGCUGCGCCUCAAGGGAAAUCCUGAUAGUUGAGGUUUUUAUGAGACUGUUACAACAGUUAUCCAUUUGGCUUUUGAUGAGUUUGGUGAAAACAUAGAUUGUUCAGAUAUAUUUUGAAAGAAUUCUAUUCCUGGUGGUUGCCAGGGGCUGAGGAGGAGAAAAUGAGCAGUUAUUAAUGGGUUUAGAGUUUCAGUUGCCCAGCAUGAAAAGAAUGCAUGGGGGUGAAAGGUGGUAGUUCCACAAUGUUAUGAAUGUAUCAUCAGUGAAUUGUUUGCUUAAAGUGGUAAAAAUGGUAAGUUUUAUGUUUAUUUCACCCCAAUAAAAAAAUGG
rnacentral:lncRNA from 1 species